rnacentral:rRNA from 1 species
GUGGAUUAGAUACCCUGGUCGUCCACGCCGUAAACGAUGAGUACUAAGUGUAGGGGAAACUCUGUGCUGAAGUUAACGCAUUAAGUACUCCGCCUGGGUAGUACGUUCGCAAGAAUGAAACUUAAAGGAAUUGACGGGGGCCCGCACAAGCAGUGGAGCAUGUGGUUUAAUUCGACGCUACGCGAAGAACCUUACCAGGACUUGACAUGGAAUUAAAGGCCGUAGAGAUACGGAGAUAGUUAUAGUUCACACAGGUGGUGCAUGACUGUCGCCAGCU